UACGUAGGGUGCGAGCGUUGUCCGGAAUUAUUGGGCGUAAAGAGCUCGUAGGCGGUGUGUCACGUCGGCCGUGAAAACCUGCAGCUUAACUGUGGGCGUGCGGUCGAUACGGGCAUCACUGGAGUUCGGCAGGGGAGACUGGAAUUCCUGGUGUAGCGGUGAAAUGCGCAGAUAUCAGGAGGAACACCAGUAGCGAAGGCGGCUCGCUGGGCCAUUCCUGACGCUGAGACGCGAAAGCUAGGGGGAGCGAACAGG
rnacentral:rRNA from 1 species